rnacentral:rRNA from 1 species
GAUGAACGCUGGCGGCGUGCCUAAUACAUGCAAGUCGAGCGAACAGAUGAGGAGCUUGCUCCUCUGACGUUAGCGGCGGACGGGUGAGUAACACGUGGAUAACCUACCUAUAAGACUGGGAUAACUUCGGGAAACCGGAGCUAAUACCGGAUAAUAUAUUGAACCGCAUGGUUCAAUAGUGAAAGACGGUUUUGCUGUCACUUAUAGAUGGAUCCGCGCCGCAUUAGCUAGUUGGUAAGGUAACGGCUUACCAAGGCAACGAUGCGUAGCCGACCUGAGAGGGUGAUCGGCCACACGUGAACUGAGACACGGUCCAGACUCCUACGGGAGGCAGCAGUAGGGAAUCUUCCGCAAUGGGCGAAAGCCUGACGGAGCAACGCCGCGUGAGUGAUGAAGGUCUUCGGAUCGUAAAACUCUGUUAUUAGGGAAGAACAAAUGUGUAAGUAACUAUGCACGUCUUGACGGUACCUAAUCAGAAAGCCACGGCUAACUACGUG